CUGAUAUUUACGCGUCCUGGACACUGUUCCUCUUCCUCAUCCUCUUUCCGUUCCCCACUCCUAUCCUCUCAGAUCUAAACUGCCAAUACAUCCGCUCGCUCCCUGUACCGGCCGGCACCGGCGCCCGUCGACAUGUCUGCCUCGUCCUCGACCUCACAGUCCCUCGCACCCAUCCUCCAAGAGCAGCCUCCUCUUCCUCUCAUCCGUUGCCCCUGGUGCCACAACGGCGACAUCGAGUGGUGGGUUUCCCGGACUCCCAAGAACCCCGGGAAACACUUCUACAAGUGCGAGCGUCACUGGGUUAGUGAAUACUUUUCCUGUCCCGGAUUGAUCAUGUUAUUCGAAGGGAAACUCUGCAUGCCGGUCACUGCAGAUCCACCCCACCCCGCACAUAAACAUCGAUGGAUUCGGGUGCGAGCCGGUCACUGCAGAUCCAGCACGGGCUGAGACUUUGGGGAUGAAGGUCGGCGACUAGGCAAGGAUCCUCGGCGGCUUGGUGUUGAGUCUUUCCUCGUAUUUUCUCUCUGCAAAUUUUUGUUUCUCAAAUUUUCUCUCUGAGGUGUUGUGAUCGUAUUUUCUUUCCUUGUUUUUUCUCUGAAAAUUUCUUUCCUAAAAAUUUCUCGCUGAGGUUUUCUGUUUUUUUCGCCAACUCUGACACCAUUCGGUAUGCAACGGCGGCGGCCAGCAGCAGAAGUACGCAACGCUAGCCGCUGGGGCAGUGAUUGCUUGUGGCGGCGAGAAGCGAGCAGCAGCUGCAGUACGCGGAGCUGGGGCAGGGGCAGCCCGUGUCGGCGAGCAGCGGCAGCCCGUGGCGUCAGCGAGCAGCAAGAAAUAGGUGGCACAGACGAGAUGGGGAGCAGUAAAUCCAUGCUGCCAACUCUCAAGGUCCUCCUCAUCCUGGGGAUCCUCAAUCUAGCGCCGUUCUGUAUCUCUUCCUGAGGCUCAACUGAACUUGUAAAUAAGAUCUCUGUAGCUAGCCUAAUUCUUUUUUCUUUUUUGCGGAAAAUCACCUGGUUAAUUGUUACCUGCCCUUCGAUCCAGGAAGUUCAUGUGAAAAUAAAAAGUUCCAGGAAGUUCAGAUUUAUAUGUAGCUUCUCUAUCUUCCAAGAUGUAACCAGGAUAUUAAGUUCCAGGAAGUUUACUUAAUAUCCUGGAAGACAGAGAUGCUGGUUUAAGUUUCAGGAGAUAUGGAUUUUUGACUAAGUUGAAUUUAAUUGUGAGUAAGAUGUUUUUUUACUUAUAACCAAGAAGCUGGAUAUUACGUAAACCAGGAUAUAUUUCUGUCUUCCAUGGUGUAUUUUCUGCCUUAU
rnacentral:rRNA from 1 species